CCUACGGGAGGCAGCAGUGAGGAAUAUUGGUCAAUGGACGCAAGUCUGAACCAGCCAAGUCGCGUGAAGGAUGACUGCCCUAUGAGUUGUAAACUUCUUUUGUACGGGGCUAAACCCAGACACGUGUGUCUUUUUGCAAGUAUUUUAUGAAUAAGGAUCGGCUAACUCCGUGCCAGCAGCCGCGGUAAUACGGAGGAUCCGAGCGUUAUCCGGAUUUAUUGGGUUUAAAGGGUGCGUAGAUGGGUUGUUAAGUCAGUUGUGAAAGUUUGCGGCUCAACCGUAAAAUUGCAUUUGAUACUGUCAGACUUGAGUACAGUUGAGGUAGGCGGAAUUCGUGGUGUAGCGGUGAAAUGCUUAGAUAUCAUGAAGAACCCCGAUUGCGAAGGCAGCUUACUAAACUGUGACUGACAUUGAGGCUCGAAAGCGUGGGUAGCAAACAGGAUUAGAUACCCGAGUAGUC
rnacentral:rRNA from 1 species